UACAGAGGUCUCAAGCGUUGUUCGGAUUCAUUGGGCGUAAAGGGUGUGUAGGUGGCGCCGUUAGUCGGGGUGUGAAAUUUCGGAGCUUAACUCCGAAACUGCAUUCGAUACUGCGGUGCUUGAGGACUGGAGAGGAGACUGGAAUUCAUGGUGUAGCAGUGAAUGCGUAGAGAUCAUGAGGAAGACCAGUGGCGAAGGCGGUCUCUGGACAGUUCCUGACACUGAGGCACGAAGGCCAGGGAGCAAACGGG
rnacentral:rRNA from 1 species